UCCAGCCACAUGUGGCCGCGCAACAUUUUCAAUUUCCGAGCAACUUUUGAGGGCGGGCAUAUUUGAAUUGAACGUCCUUGCGCCACGAACGUGAUUAAACAUGUUCGACUAAACGGCCUUCACCAUUCGAGCAGCGCGGGUUGCGUGUCCUUUGAAAAGUUUCCUAAAACACGCGCGGAACUUUUGCACCGCCGCCGGCGCUGUUUUUAAGCGCUAAUAAAUAAUAAAAAUAAACGAGUGCGAGUGCGUUUAGUUGUUUAGUGUUUAGUUUCUGUCCCCCCCGCCCAACACCAAAAAUACAAAACAAAAGUGAAAUAUUAAUGGAUCUGGUGGAUGUGAUCACGCGCUUAAGGACUCUUCCCCCCUGGAAUAACUUGUCCCAGUUUUAAGAUCUUUUUAUCGCUUGAAUGUGACCAGUGCAAGCAACAAAAAUAAACAACAACAACAAGGAUCCCUAUUCAAAUCCCUGUUCCCUGCAUCUUUGCUUUCUUUUGCGUUACUUUCGUUUGUCGCGUUACUUUUCCCCCGUUACUUUCGUUUUCGUGCGCGUCUUACUGCCGCGGCGGCUUUUCUAAUGCAUCAGCGGGAAACUGCACUGGAUUUCCAAUAGCUGCGAUUACUGCAUACUCCAGCCACCUUUUUUCUAUAGGACACAAACGAAAAUGGAUUAAAACAACGCUUCCAAUCAAAGGAUUUGAGGAUACAACAACAAAAACAUCAAUUAUAUUCUGGCAAAAUUUUGGGGAAAAAUUUUUCCCGUUUUGGCUAACAAUCAAAAUUACAAAAAAAAAUAGAAAACAACUUGGAAACCAAAAAAAUAAAAUGAAUUAAAAAUCAUAGAAAAUAAUUGACAAAAUAUCUAAUAUUCUAAGAAUUAAGGCCAACAACAACAACCCGCUAAUGUUUAUGUAAUUCUUAAGAAUCCAGAACCCAAAACAAACAAACAAACGGAAGACAAAGAUUUUUAAGCCUACGAAUUAAGUACAAUCUACAUUAAAAGAUAUUUAAUAUAAUGCAAAAAACUUCACUUAACAAAAAUCUGCAACUAUUUUUAUAAUCAACAACAAAAAACAACAAAAAGUAAAACGAAGGAAGAAAAACCAACAAAACAAACAUAGUACAAAGGAUUCAUCAAUUUUACAAAAAGCAACAACAACAAAUAUCAAAACAAGAGCAACACUUAAUCAAUAACAAAAAAAAAAUCUAUAAAUAUAUAUCUUAAAAAUACCAACAAAAAGAAAAACAACAACAACAACGCAU